CGAAGGAGAAAUCGGACUUCGGUCCGGCGGAAACUGGCGCACGGGUGAGUAACGCGUGGGAACCUGCCCUUGGGUACGGAAUAACGGUUGGAAACGGCCGCUAAUACCGUGUACGCCCUACGGGGGAAAGAUUUAUCGCCCAAGGAUGGGCCCGCGUCCGAUUAGCUUGUUGGUGAGGUAACGGCUCACCAAGGCUCCGAUCGGUAGCUGGUCUGAGAGGAUGAUCAGCCACACUGGGACUGAGACACGGCCCAG
rnacentral:rRNA from 1 species